CUGGAUCCGUCCCGGAAGGCUCCUGGAAACGGAUUGCCACCCUGUGCUGGGCGCCGCCUGGGCUGUCCAGACUUGGAGUACACAGUCUCUUCCCUCUGGGGGCGAGCCUCCCAACGAUCACCGUCAGUAAGCCUCGUACUUGCGGUUUUUUUUUCAUGUGUCCAUGUUUAUCUUUACAAAAGUUAUCUUUUUGAAGACUUGGAACAGUUCUCCUCCACUGAAUGCACGAAGCAGUUUGAAAUGGUGUGAUGUACCAAGCUCACAAGUCUAGGAUUGGAGAGAAAACAAAAAUCAGAUUGCUAGCCCAGAGCCCUUUCCAUCUCCCCCGAAUGCCUGUCACACUGGGUGAGCUCGGCUCCGGCUCAGUGCCUGUAAUAUAUCAUAUCGGGCGCCCAGGAAAUAUUUGCUGAAUGAUUCAGCCAUGUCUGUGGUCAGAAACCAUUAUUUGCAUUGUCCAUAACAGCCUCCUAAACGAUCAGGAAUGUGGCAUCUUCGGUCGAGUUAUCCACAUCUUUAUUCUCUGCAAAGUAAAAAGAAUGUGUAAUGACGCCUACUGAUCUCCUAAGGCCACCUGCUUCAAGAAGCAGCUUCCAGUUUACUGAAGUUACCGUAUUCUAAAACAGACCUGAGUGUGGGGCUGCUUCUUGGGAGUCGAUUGAACUGGAAGAUCCCCCUGCUAGCCUUGAAGACUUGAAGAAGCAAAGUGCUAAAAGUAAACUGCCUAUAAGAGGGAAGAUCAUGUCCCUUUGUCCCACAACUGCAAGGAGCUGAAUUUGACCAAUAACCGUGUCAACCUGGAAGAGGACUCCAAACUCUAGAAAGGCGCUCCACCCAGAAAGGGGUUCCAGAAAGAAACACAGCCCAUCCGACACCUCGAAUACAACCUUGUGAAACCUCACGUGGGAGAUCCAGCUAAGAUAUGCCUGAACUUCUGACCCACGAAAAAUGCUACCACCUUGACGAGUCAGUGCCAAAAUGGACUUCAUGCGGGUCACACGUAGAUCGGAGUGAAACAAAGUGCAUUGGCGCCCUGCACCUAUUCCCUUGGCACAGACCUCUCUCUCCUCGCUCGGAUGGCUUUUUCCUGCCAAUACUUGCAACCCUGUGCCUGCUGGCUUUCUCCAGCCCAAGGUGCAUAGUUAGCCCACUCUUGGGGCCAACUGUGAUCGCCAGAGUGUUAAUGUACUCAGCUCUCCCGCAGCGCCUGAAGGAGGUGAGUGUAUACACACCCGGCCUCUUUGCUUCUCUGGGGACAGCUCGGAAACGUGUUCUACACCGUCUCCCCGAGGUUCCCGGUGGGACUGAGCCCUGUGCUCAUUAACCCCUCUGCCAGGCCUCCUCUUUUUGGUGUUUCCUUUCUUAUUCCCUGAAACGAUCAGGGAAGAGUUUUAUUCUGGGUGUUAAAAAGUUUUACUUCAAGCACCUGUAACUAUGAGAUCUGGGGGGAAAUGAAAAGAAUAUUACCUGCUCGCAAAGUGGUCCCUCAUGAGAACUGGAUGAG